AGUCUGUCUACAGAUUCAAUCUAAACAAAUUGCAACAGAAAAGAUUUUUUUAAUAUCAUAUGAGAUUAUCAUAGCACAUUAACAUUAAAAAAGUCUAACAAAAUCGUACGGUCGGAAAUCGGUGAAAAUUGAAAAUAAAAAUAACGGUGAUGUGCCUACCGAUUCAUGUCAGAAAUGGUCCGCCAUAUCGACAAGGGGAGAAGACUCUUACAUAUGUCAAUUUAUAGAAACCUACUGAGUAGAUGAUAUCACUGAAAGAAUCGCUAACAUAAAUUUAUGUUAUUAUACAAAUAUGCUGCUAUCACUUGAAGUGACCUAUGUUCGAUUCAGCAUCAUUAUUUUAUUGGAGCUAACCACAGUCACUGUGCUAAUUGUUUAGCGCAAGGAUCAUUUCUAUAUCAGCUACAACUAUACCAUGGAGAAAUGCAUUGUGUGCCUAAAAGAUGACCACCCAACAACGCUGAUCAAAUUGCGACAAAAAGGUUGUCUUGGAAUCACCAGAGCUAGCCAGGAAAGAGGAGACUGUUUGUCCGCAUUAGAGGGUAAUUUUGUCCAUCAACUCUGCAGGAAAACAUAUACCAAUCCAAAUGAUAUAAAGAAAUACAAAAAAGAAAAACUUGUUCUACGAGAAACAAAUACAAACACUCCAAAAUUACGAUCAAAGUCCCAUUUUGAUUUUAAACAUCAUUGUUUAUUCUGUGGAAAUGAAGCAACAGACUCCAAGAAAAAAGACAAAAAUGUAUUUCCAGUUCGUACUGAUGAUUUUGAGAGUAGCAUACAAGAUGCUUGUGAUCUUCGAAAUGAUGAUUGGGCAGCCGAGGUUCGCGGAAGACUUGAGAGCGUGAGC